GCGUCGAUAGUGUAACGGGUUAGAGCACACGCCCUCGGCUUGGGUGAGAUGCUGGUUCGAGUCUUGCCUGACGCA